rnacentral:rRNA from 1 species
CAAUAGCGUAUAUUAACGUUGUUGCAGUUAAAAAGCUCGUAGUUGGAUUUCUGGAGGGAGCGUCGGCCCGUAUUUACGAGUGCGUGACGUCUCUGUCCAUCCUUGCGGGAAGGCACGGCAUUGAUUUGUUGUGUCGGAUCGCAUCAUUUACUGUGAAAAAAUUAGAGUGUUCAAAGCAGGCUUUCGCUUGAAUACAUUAGCAUGGAAUAAUAAGAUAGGACUCUGGUGCUAUUUUGUUGGUUGAGCCUAAAGUAAUGAUUAAUAGGGAUAGUUGGGGGCACCUGUAUUGCGUUGUCAGAGGUGAAAUUCUUGGAUUUACGCAAGACAAACAGCUGCGAAAGCGUCUGCCAAGGAUGUUUUCAUUAA